UGCGUGGCAGUCCGUGUCCUUUUGUGCUCUUGUUUUUCUGUCUUUUUAUUUUAUUUUAUUUUAUUUUAUUUUAUUUUAUUUUAUUUUAUUUUAUUUUAUUUCUGAGUGCCUUAAAAUUCUCCUCACAGAAGAGAAGUCCUCAUGAUUUAUUCCUAGUUCUUUGUGAACCUACCUGAAUGUGUCACAUUUGCAACUUACUCCUCAAAUUGUCAUUAUAUAUCUGUAGGAAACUAGUCAUUUUGUGUAUUAGUUUUGCAUUUUUUCAAGAAGAUUUUUUUCCCAUGGUGUCUGUGGGAAGUUUUGUGUGUGACUUGAUCAUUUAAAACAAAUUAUUUUCAGUGUUUAGGGUUACAUUUAAACAUAAUUGGUUUGGGCAAACGACAUACAAUUUUAAGUUAACCUGCAUGCUGGAAAUGUGUUUAAAUAAAGGAAAAUCUUUUUGAAAUGAAAAAAAAAAAAAAACCAAACAAACAAAUUUGUUGCCAUUCUUCUUUACUUAUAUCUCCUUUCUCCUCUUUGUCGUAUUCAGAUUUCUCUAGCUUACUCUGGAGUAAAAGAGACUGGAGAGUGUAUGCGUCUUCCUCUCCUUACAGUGUUCCCGCUCAUGUUCUUCCCUGUUUUCCCUCUGCACUGGGCUGCAGGGCUCCAUUUAGCAUAUCUGCCCUUUACUGUAUCGCACUGUGUUCCAUUUCUUCCUAUUUGCUUUAGGAGUUCAUCACAAGGCAAUCGUAUUAAACUUUGUCUCAGAUAUCUUCAUCUCUACUGAGAUUUUCAUAUUUCAGGGUUUUUAUUUCUUAUAGUAUUUUAAAAGUAUCUGCUGGUUGGUAACAUUUCUGGUAGUAUUUUUUUCCCCUCCAGUUAGAACUAGUGGUUUGUUGUUUUUGUGUGAGUUGGACAUGAACCCUUACUCCCAGCUCUCUACUAUUCAUCAACUCUUUAUGUAAAACAUUUCUAUGUUAUCAUGGAUAAAUUUUCUCUAUUUUUUCUAUGUAUAAUUUAUCUCUAAUUGUGAUCUUUAGUGCUGCCUGAGAGGGUGACCUGUGUAAUUUCAUAACUUCUUCAAAUGCACGUUCUUACCCGUUAAUUUUAAGAGCCAAAAUUUGUGGGUGCAGUGAUAAGACCCAUAGUUACUUCCUUUCAUCAGCCCAAAUAUAUUUUUCCCUGCUUUUCCCUCUAUAAGGACAUUGACAGCACCUCAGACAGCUUUUGUUGUUGUUGUUUUGAGGUUUUCUUAUGUGGUUUAGCAUUCUCUAUAAGAGGAUUGUAUUAAUUUUAGCUUUUUAUUUUUGACAUCUUGAUGUGAAAUGUCAAGAAGAGUUCCCGUCUUUGUUCCUGAGACAGAAACUCAGAAAGGAGCAACAGGAAAAAUGGCUGCUUCUCUGAUAGAUGUGCCCCAGGUUAGUGUUGUAUUCACAUUUCCUUUUUUUUUUUUUUUUUUUGUCUGUUUGUUUUUUGGGGGAGUUUUUGUAAUUGCUGUUGUUGUUGUUGUUUUUGAAACCAUGCAAGCCUGCUUUGGGUCAAGUUAUCUAAAGUGUUUACUUCCAAUGAUUUUUUUUUUUUACUUGUUUUAAAUUGUUUAUGUUUUUUUUUCUCUUUUUUUAUUGGAUAUUUUAUUUAUUUAGGUUUCAAAUGUUAUCUCCCUUCCUGGUUUCCACUCUGCAAAGCCCCUAUCCCAUCUCCCCUUCCCCUGCUUCUAUGGCAGUGCUCCCCAACCUACCUAACCACUCCCGCCUCACUGCCCUGGCAUUCCCCUACACUAAGGCAUCGAGCCUUCAGAGGACCAAGGGCCUCUCUUCCCAUUGAUGCCUGACAAGGCCAUUCUCUGCUACAUAAGUGACUGGAGACAUGGGUUCCUCCAUGUGUACUCUUUGGUUGGUAGUUUAGUCUCUGGGAGGUCUGGUUGGUUGAUAUGGUUGCUGGUUGCAAACCCCUUCAGCUCCUCCAUGCCUUUCCCUAACUCCUCCAUUGGGAACCCUGUGAGCAUCCACCUCUGUAUUUGUCAGGCACUGCCAGUGCCUCUCAGAGGACAGCUAUAUCAGGCUCCUGUCAGCAAGCACUUCUUGGCAUCUCAAUAGUGUCUGGAUUUGGUGUCUGUAUAUGGGAUGGACCCCCCCAGGUGGGGAAGUCUCUGGAUGGCCUUUCCUUCAGUCUCGGCUCCUCCACACUUUGUCCCCGAAUUUCCUUUAGACAGGAGCAAUAGUUCCAGUGAUUUUUUUCUUCUUUUUCUUCUCUUUUAGUUAAGAUUAAAGCUUUACACUUUGUCACCCACAUAGCACAGCCUUGUCCUAUUGUAUCUUCCCUGGAUUGUUUUUUUAUUUUUUGGUUUUUCGAGACAGGGUUUCUCUGUAUAGCCUUGGCUGUCCUGGAACUCACUUUGUAGACCAGGCUGGCCUCGAACUCAGAAAUCCACCUGCCUCUGCCUCCCGAGUGCUGGGAUUAAAGGCAUGCGCCACCACGCCUGGCUCUUUCCUGGAUUAUUAAUGUAAACACAAUAUAUUUCAUUCACUUAAGACCUGUAAUUUUGAGUAUAAAUUUAGAUUUCCAUUGUAAGUAGGGAUCAAAGAAAUAUAUGAAUGCACAAUUCUUACACAGGAUGGACAUUUGUCCUUAUGUAUUAGUAUGGAGGGUAGGUCUCAUGUACCACAUAGAUUGCAUUUCAGAGGCUACGGUUUCCAGACCAUCUUAUUAAAGUAGCCAUGGAAACACAUGGACAUUUUGGCCUACCUCACUGAGCAAUUUAUGGAAAAGUAGAAAUAAAAGAGACUCACUAUCUUAAAUCUGAGUAAUAAAUAUUUCGGCACCCUAGAGAACCCAGAUGAUAGAACGAAUUUAUGGCUUGCUUUUGCCUAUCUCUGAGGAGAUGCAAAUUGCAGUAUAAUGGAUUUUCAUUUUGCUAUUUGAUGUAGCCUGGAUUACUGUAGCCCGGAUUACAAGGGAUCGUGUACCUAUGGUGUAUUGACAUCUGAAAACUAUUUGUCUCAAGAGAGGUUCUACUCAUAUUCUUUUCUUAAAUCCAAUGCUCAGUGAUAAGUUCCCAAUUGAUAGAUCAGUAUUUUCUCUUUUUUUAUUUUAGUUUUCAGACAAAGUGUCUUUCUUCUCAUCUCUAUAUUGCAUCAUGUAGAAUAUACUAGCAAGAAUUCUUUUACAGAUAGUGACUUGGUUCUAUGCAUAAGUCCUCAAUUUUGAGCAUAAAUGAAUGUCCCUUUUAAUGACUCUGCUCUCUUCCCUUAGAGGGGGGAAGAUGCCUGCCACCCUAUAUGUUUCCUUUUCCUGAAUCUAUGUAUUACAUACGUAAAAUUCUGCAGAGAGUUUGCAUUGAGCAGGUUUUAAUUUCUUACUUUAAAAAAAAAGUCUUUACUAAGUAUAUGAGUAUUUAUCUGGGUAAUUUUAUGUGUAUGACAUUCUUCCAUUGAUAACCAUGGAGCCCAGAGGUUGGCAUCAAAUCCUUGGUAUAGGAGUAAAGCAAUGAAGUAAGGAGCCAUGAGUAUAAAGAAAAUUAAAUCGUAUUUCUCUGCAGGAACAGCAAGUUCCCUUUACCUCUGAGCCAUCUGUCUGUCCCUCAGGUUUACAUUAAAAACUGUGCAUUCGUGAUGGAGCCAUUGUAUAUCCUUGCAUCUUUUAAUUUUUUUGUAAAAUGAAAAAAGCAUCAUAAAUGAUACUUAUCUAUGAAAUAUAAAAUCAUUUUUAGAUUAUUGAGUUCAAAUAUGGAAGAAUAGCAUUGAAAUUUAAAAAUUCAAAUUUUCAGUUGAAAUAAUCACAUGAACAAUAAUAUAUUCAAAAUUAAUGAAGAAUUAGUAUUAUUCUCACACAAUCUUGUACAAUCAUUUCCAUCACAGAAAAUCUUUCUACUUCAUUUGAAUGCAUUGUCACAAAGGACAUUUAUUCUGACUACUCUGUAGUGAAUCCACAUAUGGAAUUUCUGAAAUUGUUACUAAUCUGUAUUGGCUUUGUUGACUUUUAGAAAAAUGCAGUAAUAUUAAUUUGUCUAAUAAUGAUUUUUCUAUUCACUUGAUGGUUGUGAAAAUAUUCUCAUACAAUAACUCCACAAAGUAUCUGAUUCUAUGUGUUGUUUAGAAUGUUUAUGCAAUGAUAUUAUACUCCUUCCUGUUAAAAACAAUAACAACAGAAAACCUCCUUGACUUUUUAUUCAUCCAUGAAUCUCAACUGAGCAGGUUAGAAUUGAGUCAGCGCUCUCUCUCUCUCUCUCUCUCUCUCUCUCUCUCUCUCUCUCUCUCUCUCUCCAUUUCUUAAUUUCUGUGUGCACUCCCACCCCAACUUCACCUCUGUCUCCCUGUCUGCAUGGCAAUUUCCCUGGCCCUCUUUCUUGGGACUGGUAAACCAGAGAGCUGCCCCCAGAAAACCUGCCUUUAUACUUUAAAAAAAAAAAG
rnacentral:lncRNA from 1 species